ensembl:snoRNA SNORD83 Small nucleolar RNA SNORD83
GCCAAAUGAUGUCAAUUUAGAUGGCAUUAGCACUCAGUGCAAAGAUGACCUUCAUCUAUCACCCCAGGCUGAUGGCU